UACGUAGGGAGCGAGCGUUAUCCGGAUUUAUUGGGUGUAAAGGGUGCGUAGGCGGUUUAUUAGGUCUAAGGUUUAAGCCCGGAGCUUAACUCCGGUUCACCUUAGAAACCGAUUUACUUGAGUAUAGUAGAGGCAAGUGGAAUUUCUAGUGUAGCGGUAAAAUGCGUAGAUAUUAGAAGGAACACCAGUGGCGAAGGCGACUUGCUGGGCUAUUACUGACGCUGAGGCACGAAAGCGUGGGGAGCAAAUA
rnacentral:rRNA from 1 species